GGAAGCAUGACUCACGUGGCAGAGUGCCUGCCUAGCAAGCACAAGGCCCUGAGUUCAAACCCCAGUGCUGCUG
rnacentral:tRNA from 1 species